UACGAAGGGGGCUAGCGUUGUUCGGAUUUACUGGGCGUAAAGCGCGCGUAGGCGGGUCACUAAGUCAGGGGUGAAAUCCCGAGGCUUAACCUCGGAACUGCCUUUGAUACUGGUGACCUGGAGAUCGGGAGAGGUUGGUGGAAUUCCGAGUGUAGAGGUGAAAUUCGUAGAUAUUCGGAGGAACACCAGAAGCGAAGGCGGCCAACUGGCCCGAUACUGACGCUGAGGCGCGAAAGCUAGGGGAGCAAACGGG
rnacentral:rRNA from 1 species